GCGGAAUCUAAUAUACCUGGUCCAGGUAAAUACGAUUCUCCUGUUCCAAUCAAAUGUACAGGCUCCAUUUACCCUGCGCCAUUUGGCACCUGUGUUGGUCGUUUUCCAAAAAUUUCUGACGACACUGGGCCAGGACCCAGCGAUUACCAUUCGAAAGUCGGCAACUUGGCAUACGAGUCAGAGAGGCGUUACCGGUACGCUUAUUUAAGACAACUGCAGCCACGGAUUUACCUCGAGACAUUUUGCUACCCAAACGAAGAGGAU
rnacentral:misc_RNA from 1 species